rnacentral:rRNA from 1 species
AAUGAACGCUGGCGGCAGGCCUAACACAUGCAAGUCGAACGAGUGGCGGACGGGUGAGUAAUGUCUGGGAAACUGCCUGAUGGAGGGGGAUAACUACUGGAAACGGUAGCUAAUACCGCAUACCAUCAGAUGUGCCCAGAUGGGAUUAGCUAGUGGGUGGGGUAACGGCUCACCAAGGCGACGAUGCCUAGCUGGUCUGAGAGGAUGACCGGCCACACUGGGACUGAGACACGGUCCAGACUCCUACGGGAGGCAGCAGUGGGGAAUAUUGCGCAAUGGACGAAAGCCUGAUGCAGCAAUGCCGCGUGAAUGAAGAAGGCCUUCGGGUUGUAAAGUACUUUCGUCAGGGAGGCGGUACCCGCAGAAGAAGCACCGGCUAACUCCGUGCCAGCAGCCGCGGUAAUAC